rnacentral:rRNA from 1 species
GACGAACGCUGGCGGCGUGCUUAACACAUGCAAGUCGAACGGAAAGGCCCCUUUGGGGGUACUCGAGUGGCGAACGGGUGAGUAACACGUGAGUAACCUGCCCUUGACUUCGGGAUAACUUCAUGAAACUGGGGCUAAUACCGGAUAGGAAUCCUUGCUGCAUGGUGGGGGUUGGAAAGCUUCGGCGGUUUUGGAUGGACUGGCGGCUUAUCGGCUUGUUGGUGGGGUAGUGGCUUACCAAGGCUUUGACGGGUAGCCGGCCUGAGAGGGCGACCUGCCACAUUGGGACUGAGAUACGGCACAGACUCCUACGGGAGGCAGCAGUGGGGAAUAUUGCACAAUGGGCGGAAGCCUGAUGCAGCAACGCCGCGGGCGGGAUGACGGCCUUCGGGUUGUAAAACGCUUUCAGAAGGGGCGAAGCUUGUGGUGACGGUACCUGCAGAAGAAGCACCGGCUAACUACGUG